GAAGGAAGGGAGCUGAUCUGAUUGUUAGGUGUCGGGCUGAUAAGAGUCGGGGAUAGGGCGAAGGAGGUUCCUUUUCGAGAUGAGGAAUGGUUUGUGCUUUGUUCAAGUACUCUGGUUGUUAAAGGUGUAAGUUUUGUAUGGCAUAGGUAUCGGCUUAUAUUGAAGUUAAAUAAGGGGGUGGUGAAUGAGUAGUUAUGGUGACUAAGGUGAUUGCACUCAGAAUUUGUUCAAGGAAGUUUGUAAGAGAACAGAUACUUGAUUCAUGUUCUUUUUGGUUGUAGAUCACUGGACACAAAGGUAUAAUACCUUAACAAACUCGGUAGCUUUAGGUUCUUGUUCAUCACAUUAGAAAAGGUGUCACGAUCUUUAACAAAUCUGCAGCAGAACUUAUGGAGAGAGUCAAAGUUCACGCUUCUGCUAGUCUAAGAGUGUUUGCCCUCCUUUUUUUAUUACUUUUUUCCUGAAUCGACUCCAUUGUUCACAAUAGCUCCAGUUAAAUCAGCUUUGCUAUGUCUAUCCUCACUACAUUCAUCAGCCUUUUCAGUUUGACAUAAGUAAAAUGUAUGCUACAACAGCAGUAAUUUAAAAUCCACUACCAAGUUGUUAGACCAUUUAGUUGAUGGUUAAUCUAUUGUACUUGAACUUGGUGAACCCUUAUGCCUGGUUUUGCGGUCAACUAAAGUUUGUAAGCAAAGACAUGAGAUUUAUGAUAUUUACAUGAUGAAAGUUAUUAAUAUGGUAGACAUUUUCAUAUGGUGAUUAUAAGUCAACUGAUGUGGAUGUGCAAGUUGAUAUGUGGUACAGUUGAUAUACAUGGUACGCUUGAUAUAGAGAGGACAUAGGGAACUUGGAAGUUGAUAUGUGGUACAGUUUUUUUUUUGGUCAAUGAUAUUUGGUACAGUUAACCAUCCUUCUAUAUCUUGAAGAUGGUCCUGAAGGUUAUAAACCGCCGUUAAGGGUCCCCAUUAAAGUAUACCAUGUUAAACAGGUUUUUUUUUAAUUUGUAAAUCAUAGAGAAGCGAAGAAAUCGGGUAGUAAGAGACUCAUUGAGGUGUUAAGCUAGUGCCUAUAGAACAUCCUGGUGAUUAAGAGCUGAACUUUAUGAGUAUUUUAGUUCUAGUUAAGGAGCCAUUUAGCUGACUUUUCAAUGCAGUAAUGUAUGCCGAGUAUUAUGAAUAAUACAGAUAUGAGAAACUGAAUGGGAAGCAAAUGCAUUAGGAAUAAUUUGAGCAUGUAUUGUCUUUUCAACUUGUCUAUUUCUAAGGUAUCAUGUUAUCUUUGAGAAAGAUGUGAUGUAGGAUUAUUAAGGUGGUGUCAAAUAGAUGAUUAAUUGUUGUAUUUUAUAUAAUUUGCUGGAAAAUGCUGUCAGAUUACCUAAUAUUUAUUUGGUUCAUUUGACCUACAGGUAUUCACUAAUUAAAGCAUUUUGCAUUGCUUUUGUGCUGACAUUCUUUAGUGCAUUUGAUGUGCCUGUAUUUUGGC
rnacentral:lncRNA from 1 species